GGUUAAUCUAAAUUUUCAUCGUCCGGCCUUCUGGGAGUCAGAGUUUAUUCAACAAAGUAACUGGAACCAGGGCAGUGGCUACUCUGUUUCCAGGCACAGGAAUACAGAUGUAGAACCGAAGUGGGUGGUCCUGAAAGCAAGGUGUUUUCUCUGUGUUCUAGAAUAUCAGCCUCGAACAGAACCAUAGCAGCCAACAUGUAGAAAGUGCUUAUUGUAUCCCAGGCACUAUUCAAAAUGCUUUACAUACGUCCAUGUGGUAUCACCAUCUGAAAAGAAACAGGUUUAGGGAGAUUAAGUAACAGCUCCAAGGUCUCCCUGCUUCCAGAGAAGAUCUCGGAAACCAAGUCUGCCUGCUCCAUCACCAGCGACCUGAACUCUCUCCCUGAGAAGAGCUGGGAAUUUAGUGACCAGAGCCACACGUAGUUCUCUUUCUCACUUGGGAAAGAUCCAACGGGAAGAAACAGAGAAGCUUCAUCCUGCCAGAAAAGAGCUUUGCUUUAGAAGGGACAAAUCAGUACAGAUUUUGUAUCGUGAUUUUGAAAAUCUGCUUUUACAAACCUAAUGGAUGACCUGAAAAAUACAGUCCCACCCAGACAAGCUCCACGGUCCUGGGCAGCUCUGAAACACUGCACCGUGCUGUCGACUUAUGAUGGAAAUAUAAACCAGCAACCCACUGAAAGGAUGGAAGGGGGUGGCAGAAGGACUUUGACUAUUGAAGCAUUCAUAUAAUAAUCAGAGAGGAAUUUAUAUUCUUGGCCAUCAAUGGAUUGCACAAUGCCCACUCACCUUGGAGAGCACAAUCUGCUUUACUCAGUCAACGAAUUCAAAUGCUAACGUCCUCCAGAAACACCCUCUCAGACAUGCCUGGAAAUAAUGCUUAGCCAGAUAUCCAGGCAUCCUGUGGUCCAGUCAAGAUGAUACACAAAAUUAAUCAUAAUACUUCUGAUGUCAGAAACUGCAAAAU
rnacentral:lncRNA from 1 species